GACGAACGCUGGCGGCGUGCUUAACACAUGCAAGUCGAACGGAAAGGCCCUGCUUUUGUGGGGUGCUCGAGUGGCGAACGGGUGAGUAACACGUGAGUAACCUGCCCUUGACUUUGGGAUAACUUCAGGAAACUGGGGCUAAUACCGGAUAGGAGCUCCUGCUGCAUGGUGGGGGUUGGAAAGUUUCGGCGGUUGGGGAUGGACUCGCGGCUUAUCAGCUUGUUGGUGGGGUAGUGGCUUACCAAGGCUUUGACGGGUAGCCGGCCUGAGAGGGUGACCGGCCACAUUGGGACUGAGAUACGGCCCAGACUCCUACGGGAGGCAGCAGUGGGGAAUAUGGCACAAUGGGCGGAAGCCUGAUGCAGCAACGCCGCGUGCGGGAUGACGGCCUUCGGGUGGGAAACCGCUUUCGCCUGUGACGAAGCGUGAGUGACGGGAAUGGGUAAAGAAGCACCGGCGAACUACGU
rnacentral:rRNA from 1 species